GAUGAACGCUGGCGGCGUGCUUAACACAUGCAAGUCGGACGGAAAGGCCCAAGCUUGCUUGGGUGCUCGAGUGGCGAACGGGUGAGUAACACGUGGGUGAUCUGCCCUGCACUUUGGGAUAAGCCUGGGAAACUGGGUCUAAUACCGGAUAGGACCAUCGUUUAGUGUCGGUGGUGGAAAGUUUUUCGGUGUGGGAUGAGCUCGCGGCCUAUCAGCUUGUUGGUGGGGUAAUGGCCUACCAAGGCGUCGACGGGUAGCCGGCCUGAGAGGGUGUACGGCCACAUUGGGACUGAGAUACGGCCCAGACUCCUACGGGAGGCAGCAGUGGGGAAUAUUGCACAAUGGGCGCAAGCCUGAUGCAGCGACGCCGCGUGGGGGAUGACGGCCUUCGGGUUGUAAACUCCUUUCGCCAAGGACGAAGCGUUUUGUGACGGUACUUGGAGAAGAAGCACCGGCUAACUACGUG
rnacentral:rRNA from 1 species